CUGGAGGCAGCAGUGGGGAAUCUUGCGCAAUGCGCGAAAGCGUGACGCAGCAACGCCGCGUGGGGGAAGAAGGCCUUCGGGUUGUAAACCCCUUUCAGUUGGGACGAAGCUCCGCCGGUGAACAGCCGGCUGGAGUGACGGUACCUUCAGAAGAAGCCCCGGCUAACUACGUGCCAGCAGCCGCGGUAAUACGUAGGGGGCAAGCGUUGUCCGGAAUUAUUGGGCGUAAAGAGCGUGUAGGCGGCUCGGUAAGUCCGCUCUGAAAGCCCGGGGCUCAACCCCGGGAGGCGGGCGGAUACUGCUGGGCUAGAGUCCGGAAGAGGCGAGUGGAAUUCCCGGUGUAGCGGUGAAAUGCGCAGAUAUCGGGAGGAACACCAAUGGCGAAGGCAGCUCGCUGGGACGGUACUGACGCUGAGACGCGAAAGCGUGGGGAGCAAACAGGCUUAGAAACCCUAGUAGUCCA
rnacentral:rRNA from 1 species